AAAUUGAAGAGUGAUUAUCAUGGCUCGAUUGAACGCUGGCGGCAAGGCCUAACACAUGCAAUGCGAGCGGAAGCGGAAUAGUUGCUACUUGGCCGGCGAGCGGCGGACGGUGAGUAAUGUCUGGAAACCGCCUUGAUGGAGGGGAUAACUAACUGGAAAACGGUAGCUAAUACCGCAUAACGUCUUCGGACCAAUGGGGACCUUCGGCCUCACGCCAUCGGAUGUUCCCAGAUGGGAUUUACUAAGUAGGUGGGUAUGCUCACUAGGGCGACGAUCCCUAGCUGGUCUGAAGAGGAUGACCAGCCACACUGGAAUGAGACAUCGGUCCAGGACUCCCUACGGAGCAGCAUGGGGAAUUUCCAGCGCAAGCCUGAAAGCAGCCAGCCGCUGUGUGAAGAAGCCUCGGGUUGUAAGCACUUUCAGCGAGGUAAGGAAAGCAUUAAAGGUUAAUAACCUUUGUGAUUGACGUUACUGCCGCAGGAAGAAGCACCCGGCUAACUCCGUGCCAGCGCGCCGGUAAUACGGAGGAGUGCAAGCGUAACGGAUUACUGGGCGUAAAAAGCGCACGCAGGGCGUUUGUUAAGUCAGAUGGAAACCCGCGCUUAACGUGGGAACUGCAUUUGAAACGGCAAGCGAGGUCCUUGUAGAGGGGGGUAGGAAUCCAGGUGUAGCGGUGAAAUUGCAGAGAGUCUGAGGAAUACCUGGUGCGAAGGCGGCCCCCUGGACAAAGACUGACGCUCCAGUUGCGAAAGCGUGGGGAGCAAACAGAUUAAACCUGGUAGUCGCACGGCUGUAAACAGUCGACUUGGAGGUUGUGCCCUUGAGGCGUGGCUUCCGGAGCCUACGCGUUAAGUCGACCGCCUGGGAGUAUACGGCCGCAAGGUUAAAACUCAAAUGAAUUGACGGGGGCCGCACAAGCGGUGGAGCAGUGUUUAAUUGAUGCAACGCGAAGAACUUACCUACUCUUGAGCAUCCACAGAACUGUAGCAGAGUAGUGCUUCCGGUGCCUUCGGAACUGUGGAGACAGGUGCUGCAUGGCUGUCGUCAGCUCGUGUUGUGGAAAUUUGGGUUAAGUCCCCGCAACGAGCGCAACCCCUUAUCUUUGUGCCAGCGAGUAAUGUCCGGGAACUCAAAGGAUAACUGCCGGUGAUAAACCGAGGAAGGUGGGAUGACGUCAAGUCAUCUGGCCUUACGAGUAGGGCUACACCACGUCCACAAUGGCAGAUACAAAAGUGAAGCGAACUCGCGAGAGCCAAGCGGACCACAUAAAGUCUGUCGAGUCCGGAUUGGGUCUGCAACUCGACUGCCAAUGAAGUCGGAAUCCGCAUAGAAUCGAGAAGUCCAGAAUGCUACGGUGAAACGUUCCAGGGGCCCUUGGACACACCGCCCGUCACACCAUGGAGUGGGUUGCAAAAGGAAGUUAGUACUAACUCGUGAGGCGCUUACCAACUUUGUGAUUCAUGACUUGGGUGAAGUUCGUAACAAAGGUAACGCUAAGGGAACCUGGCGGUUGGAGUCAACCUCCUACCU
rnacentral:rRNA from 1 species